UACAGAGGGGGCAAGCGUUGUUCGGAAUUACUGGGCGUAAAGGGCGCGUAGGCGGCCUGCUAAGUCGAACGUGAAAUCCCCGAGCUCAACUCGGGAACUGCGUCCGAUACUGGCAGGCUUGAAUCCGGGAGAGGGAUGCGGAAUUCCAGGUGUAGCGGUGAAAUGCGUAGAGAUCCGGAAGAACACCGGUGGCGAAGGCGGCCUGCUGGGCAGUAGCUGACGCUGAUGCGCGACAGCGUGGGGAGCAAACAGG
rnacentral:rRNA from 1 species